GGAGUUGUGGCUCAGUGGUAGAGCACUUGCCUAGUACGCAUGAGGCCCUGGGUUCAAUCGCCAGCACCA
rfam:Ictidomys tridecemlineatus contig059734, whole genome shotgun sequence.